rnacentral:lncRNA from 1 species
CUGGGGUGGCACCUGGCACAACAGUUGCUCCUGGAAGUUUCAGCACAGCAGCUACAACUUCUCCGGGAGCAAGCAGAGUGACUGGCACUGGACCCACUGCAGAGACCACAAUUUUCCUAGGAGGAAGUAGCACCACUGGAGCAGAAAUAAAAUCAGGUGAAGAUUAUGGGGGUUUCAUUAUUUACUGUUGUAUUUUGAUAAAUUUGUUAGAGGAAACAUUUUUUUCAAUGAACUUAUUUUGGAAUAAUUGUAAAUUAUAGAAGG